rnacentral:ncRNA from 1 species
GGGCGUAUGGGGAAUGCCUAGGCUCUCAGAGGCGAAGAAGGACGCGAUAAGCUGCGAAAAGCUGCGGGGAUUGGCACAUACAAAUUGAUCCGCAGGUAUCCGAAUGGGGCAACCCACUAUAUUGAAGAUAUAGUAUACCGUAAGGUAGGCAAACCCGGGGAACUGAAACAUCUAAGUACCCGGAGGAGAAGAAAACAACAGUGAUUGCGUAAGUAGCGGCGAGCGAACGCGUAGUAGCCCAAACCGGUAUUGUUACGGCAAUGCCGGGGUUAUAGGACCACGAUAUUGGUUGUGAACAGAAUUAGAACACGUUGGAAAGCGUGGCCAUAGACGGUGAUAGCCCGGUAUAGGUAAUGAACAUAAACCAUAGUGGUAUCCUGAGUAGUGCGGGGCACGAGAAACCCUGUAUGAAUUAGGCGGGACCAUCCGCUAAGGCUAAAUACUCCUGAGAGACCGAUAGUGAACCAGUACCGUGAGGGAAAGGUGAAAAGAACCGUGAAUAACGGAGUGAAAUAGAUCCUGAAACCAUACGCUUACAAGCGGUCGGAGCCCUUUAGGGGGUGACGGCGUGCCUUUUGCAUAAUGAGCCUACGAGUUACCGUUGCCAGCAAGGUUAAGUCUUUAAGAGAUGGAGCCGUAGCGAAAGCGAGUCUUAAUAGGGCGCUAUAGUUGGUAGUGGUAGACGCGAAACCGUGUGAUCUACCCUUGGGCAGGUUGAAGCUGUGGUAACACAUAGUGGAGGACCGAACCCGUUGACGUUGAAAAGUCUUGGGAUGACCUGAGGGUAGGGGUGAAAGGCCAAUCAAACUCGGAAAUAGCUCGUACUCCCCGAAAUGCAUUUAGGUGCAGCGUUGAUUUAAAGUUUUAUAGAGGUAGAGCUACUGAUUGGAUGCGGGGGCUUCACCGCCUACCAAUUCCUGACAAACUCCGAAUGCUAUAAAAUGUUGAUCAGCAGUGAGGGCAUGGGUGCUAAGGUCCAUGUCCGAGAGGGAAAGAACCCAGACCAUCAGCUAAGGUCCCCAAAUGUAUAUUAAGUUGAAGAAACGCGGUUGAACUGCCCAGACAGCUAGGAUGUUGGCUUGGAAGCAGCCAUUCAUUUAAAGAGUGCGUAACAGCUCACUAGUCGAGCGGUUCGGCAUGGAUAAUAAUCGGGCAUAAAUAUACUACCGAAGCUAUGGAUUUCAUAUUUAAGUAUAUGGAGUGGUAGGGGAGCAUUGUAAUGGGGUUGAAGGUGUGCUGUCAGGCAUGCUGGACUAAUUACAAAAGAAAAUGUAGGCAUAAGUAACGAUAAUGCGGGCGAGAAACCCGCA